CCUACGGGAGGCAGCAGUGGGGAAUCUUGGGCAAUGGGCGAAAGCCUGACCCAGCAAUACCGCGUGAGGGAUGAAGGCCUUCGGGUCGUAAACCUCUGUCAGCAGGAACGAUGGGUCUCCGUGCUAAUACCACGGAGACUUGACGGUACCUGCAAAGGAAGCCCCGGCUAACUCCGUGCCAGCAGCCGCGGUAAU
rnacentral:rRNA from 1 species